GACGAACGCUGGCGGCGUGCUUAACACAUGCAAGUAGGACGCAGUUGCGAACGGGUGAGUAACGCGUAGGUAACUACCUAUUAGUGGGGGAUAACAAUUGGAAACGAUAGCUAAUACCGCAUACUAGUAGAUGGAUCUGCGUUGUAGUAGCUAGUAUGUCAGGUAAUGGCCUACCUAGGCAACGAUACAUAGCCGACCUGGGAGGGUGAUCGGCCACACUGGGACUGAGACACCGCCCAGGAUCCUACGGGAGGGAGCAGUAGGGAAUCUUCGGCAAUGGGGGGAAACCUGACCGAGCAACGCCGCCGGAGUGAAGAAGGUUUUCGGAUCGUAAAGCUCUGUUGUUAAGGAAGCGGUACUUAACCAGAAAGGGACGGCUAACUACGUGCCAGCAGCCGCGGUAAUAC
rnacentral:rRNA from 1 species